AGCGAGAAAGCGUUGCCAACGGCAACGACCCGAAGGGUGAAGCGCGCAGCGCUGAGUAAUCCUUCCCCCACCACCA
rnacentral:sRNA from 3 species